rnacentral:rRNA from 1 species
GCCUACGGGGCGCAGCAGUCGGGAAUAUUGCGCAAUGGAGGAAACUCUGACGCAGUGACGCCGCGUAUAGGAAGAAGGUUUUCGGAUUGUAAACUAUUGCCGUGAGGGAAGAAAUUGACAGUACCUCAGGAGGAAGCUCCGGCUAACUAUGUGCCAGCAGCCGCGGUAAUACAUAGGGAGCAAGCGUUAUCCGGAUUUACUGGGUGUAAAGGGAGCGUAGACGGCGAUGCAAGUCUGAAGUGAAAGCCCGGGGCUCAACCCCGGGACUGCUUUGGAAACUGUAUGGCUGGAGUGCUGGAGAGGCA